UGGGGGAUAUUGCACAAUGGGCGAAAGCCUGAUGCAGCGACGCCGCGUGGGGGAUGAAGGCCUUCGGGUUGUAAACUUCUUUUGCUCUGAACAAGGCAUGCUAAUGGGUGUGUUGAGUGUAGGGGUUGAUUAGCGCCGGCUAACUACGUGCCAGCAGCCGCGGUAAUACGUAGGGCGCGAGCGUUGUCCGGAAUUAUUAGGCGUAAAGGGCUUGUAGGUGGCUGGUUGCGUCUGUCGUGAAAGCUCAUGGCUUAACUGUGGGUUUGCGGUGGGUACGGGCUGGCUUGAGUGCAGUAGGGGAGGCUGGAAUUCCUGGUGUAGCGGUGGAAUGCGCAGAUAUCAGGAGGAAUACCGGUGGCGAAGGCGGGUCUCUGGGCUGUUACUGACACUGAGGAGCGAAAGCAUGGGGAGCGAACAGG
rnacentral:rRNA from 1 species